UACGGGGGGGGGAAGCGUUGUUCGGAAUUACUGGGCGUAAAGGGCUCGUAGGCGGCCAACUAAGUCAGACGUGAAAUCCCUCAGCUUAACUGGGGAACUGCGUCUGAUACUGGAUGGCUUGGAUUCGGGAGAGGAAUGCGGAAUUCCAGGUGUAGCGGUGAAAUGCGUAGAUAUCUGGAGGAACACCGGUGGCGAAGGCGACUACCUGGCCUGUUCUUGACGCUGAGGCGCGAAAGCUAGGGGAGCAAACGGG
rnacentral:rRNA from 1 species